AAUGGGCCCGAAACCGGGUGACCUACCCAUGGUCAGGUUGAAGUGGAAGUAAAAUUCCAUGGAGGACCGAACCGACCUCCGUUGAAAAGGCGGCGGAUGAACUGUGGGUAGCGGAGAAAUUCCAAUCGAACCCGGAGAUAGCUGGUUCUCCCCGAAAUAGUUUUAGGACUAGCCUCAAGUUAGAUACCUGGAGGUAAAGCACUGAAUAGCCUAGCGGCCGAGAGGUUAGCGAAGCUUAUCAAACUCAGAAUGCCAGAGUAUUGAUGCUUGGGAGUCAGACAGUGUCAGAUAAAUGUCAUUGUCAAAAGGGAAACAGCCCAGAUCUACAGCUAAGGUCCCAAAGUCAGGUUAAGUGGAAAACGAUGUGAAGAUACGCAGACAACCAGGAUGUUGGCUCAGAAGCAGCCACUCAUUCAAAGAGUGCGUAAUAGCUCACUGGUCGAGCGUCUUUGCGCGGAGAAUUUAACGGGGCUAAACCUGACACCGAAGCUUAGGCAAUACAGCAAUGUAUUGGGUAGGGGAGCGUUGUAUACGCGGUGAAACAGUAGCGCAAGCGGCUGUGGAGUGUAUAGAAGUGAGAAUGCCGGAAUGAGUAGCGCGAAUGCAGUGAGAAUCUGCAUGGCCGAAAGCCUCAGGUUUCUGGAGGAAGGUUCGUCCGCUCCAGGUUAGUCGGGAGCUAAGGUGAGGCCUAACGGCGUAGCCGAUGCACAGACGGUAGAGAUUCCGUCACCACCAAAAGAGUUAAACACAGGGACACAUUUGAAGUCUCGGAGCCGGGUGUUGGUUCCGGUAGCGAUCGAGGGAAGUUAGUACCGAAGUCCGGGAUGGAAGAUGGCGAGAAAAGCUGUGUGUAUUUCUGCGGUGCCCGUACCGCAAACCGACACAGGUAGGUAGGAAGAAGAUUCUAAGGCCAACGGGAGAAGGGUUGUUAAGGAACUCGGCAAAUUGACCCCGUAACUUCGGGAGAAGGGGUGCUCCAGAGAUGGAGCCGCAGAGAAUCGGCCCAAGCAACUGUUUACCAAAAACACAGGUUUGUGCUAAAUCGAAAGAUGACGUAUACGAGCUGACGCCUGCCCGGUGCUGGAAGGUUAAGAGGAGAUGUGCAAGCAUUGAAUCGAAGCCCCAGUGAACGGCGGCCGUAACUAUAACGGUCCUAAGGUAGCGAAAUUCCUUGUCAGGUAAGUUCUGACCCGCAUGAAAGGCGUAAUGAUUUGGGCACUGUCUCAACAGCCCGCCCGGCGAAAUUGUAGUACCGGUGAAGAUGCCGGUUACCCGCGACAAGACGGAAAGACCCCAUGGAGCUUUACUGUAGCCUAAUAUUGGGUUUCGAUGUUGCAUGCACAGGAUAGAUGGGACACUGGGAAGCAGGUGCUUUGGCGCUUGUGGAGUGGCCGUUGGGAUACCAUCCUUGCGAUAUUGGAAUUCUAACCUGCGCCUUUGAAUCAAGGCGGGGGACAUUGUUAGGUGGGCAGUUUGACUGGGGCGGUCGCCUCCUAAAGAGUAACGGAGGCGUUCAAAGGUUCGCUCAGCUUGAACGGAAAUCAAGCAAAAGAGUGCAAACGCAGAAGCGAGCCUAACUGCGAGACUGACGGGUCGAGCAGUAACGAAAGUUGGAGUUAGUGAUCCGGUGGUAUGUGAGUGGAAAUGCCAUCGCUCAACGGAUAAAAGCUACCCUGGGGAUAACAGGCUGAUCUCCCCCAAGAGU
rnacentral:rRNA from 1 species